UGGGGAAUAUUGCACAAUGGGCGAAAGCCUGAUGCAGCGACGCCGCGUGAGGGAUGACGGCCUUCGGGUUGUAAACCUCUUUCAGUAGGGACGAAGCGCAAGUGACGGUACCUGCAGAAGAAGCACCGGCUAACUACGUGCCAGCAGCCGCGGUAAUACGUAGGGUGCGAGCGUUGUCCGGAAUUACUGGGCGUAAAGAGCUCGUAGGCGGUUUGUCACGUCGUCUGUGAAAUCCUAGGGCUUAACCCUGGACGUGCAGGCGAUACGGGCUGACUUGAGUACUACAGGGGAGACUGGAAUUUCUGGUGUAGCGGUGGAAUGCACAGAUAUCAGGAAGAACACCGAUGGCGAAGGAAGGUCUCUGGGUAGUAACUGACGCUGAGGAGCGAAAGCAUGGGUAGCGAACAGG
rnacentral:rRNA from 1 species